rnacentral:rRNA from 1 species
UCUUGGUCAUUUAGAGGAAGUAAAAGUCGUAACAAGGUUUCCGUAGGUGAACCUGCGGAAGGAUCAUUAUUGAAUUACAGGCGAGGGUUGUCGCUGGCCUCUCGGGGCAUGUGCACGCCCGAGCCAUCCCCAACAAACACCGUGGGCCUUCGGGCCUGCGUAUAUUUACUCUGAAUGUGUAUAGAAUGUAAACCAUUUGUUUGCCCUGAAAAAGCAAACGAAAAAAAGUACAACUUUCAACAACGGAUCUCUUGGCUCUCGCAUCGAUGAAGAACGCAGCGAAAUGCGAUAAGUAAUGUGAAUUGCAGAUUUUCAGUGAAUCAUCGAAUCUUUGAACGCACCUUGCGCCCCUUGGUAUUCCGAGGGGCAUGCCUGUUUGAGUGUCAUUAAAUCCUCAACCGCGCCGAUUGAUUUCGGUGGGGCUUGGACUUGGAGCGUGCUGGCGAAGGUCGGCUCCUCUUUAAAUGCAUCAGCGGAAGAAACCUUUGUCUUUCCUGCCUUCGGUGUGAUAAUCGUGUUGCGCCGUGGUGGAACUUCAACGAUCCGCUUACAAUGGUCUUCGGACAAAACCUCAUGUCAUCUUGACCUCAAAUCAGGUAGGACUACCCGCUGAACUUAAGCAUAUCA